AUCUUCUACGAUCAAGGUUCUGGAAAUCUUUGCGUUCGUUUCAAAAGGAUGACGUGAUGAUUUAGCCGCCAGUGCUUAUCCGUAGCAGACGAAUAUCCGCCUGUCUGCUUUUUUAUUUACAAAGCAUCCAACGACUACCAAUUGAUCAUCAGGGGACACCUUAGAGCUAAUCUCCAACUAUGGAUGUUUCUCCAAGUAUUUUUAGAAUUCUUAGAAAAAUCAAAUUCACGCCGCUAAUCUUCGUCGCUUUAGGACUUGGAGAGUGGUAUGACAAACAGGCCAACGAUAAUAUGUCUCGCUACAGGGGUAAGAGUAAGCUGUACGGCAGACCUGAACACGAAGCACGUCCUCCAUGGUGACGGAAAAAUGAUAGCGUCUGCGGAGCAUAGUUAUGCGCGAUUUUUUUCAUUAGUGUGUACGGAAACUAAAAUAAUUAAUUGAAUUUAGAGUUGAAAUGGACUGAACAGGAUGAUAUUUUCUUCGUUCGGAUUAUUUGGAAAAUAAAAGUUUCAAUUUCAA